CACACACACACACACACACACACACACACACACAUAUAAAUGCAUUUAUAUUUAAUUAAGAAUACAUACCAUGAACCAUUUUGAAGACUCUUGUAUCCUCAGGUGGGUCUGGCUAUGCAUGGUACAGCAGUAGAAGAGCCACAUAAUCAGGUAGAACCAGGAGACUACGUGUACAUCAGAAGAUUCAAGAAAAAACAUUGGCAAGAACCAAGGAGAGAAGGACCUUUUAAAGUGGUGUUGGCUGCUCCCACAGUGGUCAAGGUUGAAGUGUUGUGUGCAGAUCCACGUUGUGUGCAGAUCCAUGGAGUGCCACCCAUCCCGACGUCUCUGACCCCAACCGCCUCGAGGACACCACAAGGCUUGUCUUGAUCACGGCCCUGAGGGACUAAUAAUAUGACUAAUAAUAGUGUGACUCUGCGUGUACACUUACUCUCUUUCCUGGAAAAACUGUUGAUAUAUGUGUGUGUUGUAUAUUAUGGUGACCCUGGUGACACUGACUUCACUGUCGUGCUAUAUAUGUGGGCAGAGUGAGAAUUUUCCCUCAAAUUGGCCUCUGAGGGUUUUUUCACUCACUCCUGGUUAAGCCUUUGAGAAUGAGCACGUAGAAUAUGUUACGUAUAUGGAGGGGGGGUAAUGGUUAUACUAGAGCACUGAAAUGUUAUUUUGUUAGAUUCAAAGGUAGUCAAAGGUAGUCAAGAUGGAGAAAAAAUUAAAGUGUUAUUAAAAUAUUAAGAUUUCUUAGGUAAUCUGGUAAAUGGGGAUGCUAAAAGUGGUGAUGUUGAAAUUUUGUUUAAAGUUUAAAAUUUGUUGAAGUUUUGUUUAAAGUUUAAGUUUUUGGUUUGUUUAAAUGUUUGAAAUUUUUGUUUUGUUUAAAUGUUUUGAUUUCAUUUUUUUGUUUGUUUAUAACCCCUGUUGAUGUUCAUAAGGUUAGGGUUAGGGUUAGGAUUUAUGUCAGGAUUACUGCAACAUAGGUUUGGUUGAUGCUUUACAGCCUCAAAGGGGGGAGUAAUGUUGUGAAAAAUCUUAGUAUAAAUAAUUAAAGUAUUAUUCCUUACAAUACUAUAACCAAAGUAAAGUAUUAAGCCUUGCAAAAUAUUACAAUUGGUGUCAUAAGACAUAUUUAGGCGAGGUUGUAGGCCACAGAUUUUGUAAUAGUUUUAAGGUAAUAUGUGACUAACAUAUAAAUGGCCACACCUGAGUCAAAGUGUAAACAAGAAAAGUUUAUUGUAAUCAUAAACUUAGUAAAAAUAACCAGACUCAGUGCUAUCAGGCCUAGUCAGUCUGAGCUCUCUGAUCAACAAUGUGUGAGGAAGUGAAAGUCAAAAGUUCAGCUGAAACAGGCCUCAUGAAGGGAGUAGGGUGAGACAGCUGAAUCAGGCAACCAGCUGGACGGACCUGCUGAUUCUGAGAUUGAGGGUCUAAGGGGAACCUGACCUUUAGUGGAAACAGAGAAACUAAGGCUUAAAAUAUGCAUGUGUAUGCCCAGUCUGGAAAGUGACAGACUUAGAUCAUGUUCAGCUCAUAGGUUUAGUAAGCUUAAGGAGUCGACAUAGAACUCCACCUAUUAUACAAAGCAACAUUAUAACAGCAAGGGCUUAGCAAAAACAGCAAUACAACAUAACCAAUAUACUCAAGAACUUUUAUCAUAAUUCAAACUCAUGAAGAUAACAUAUAAUAAUCAAUUAUAUAAUCAGUAGAAAUCAUAUACAGUAUAGAAUAGCAAGAAAUGAAAUGAGGAAACUUACUCAUUGUAGCUGUAAAAGAGGAUUAAUGCAAAACAUCAUAGUGACAGACAAUGGGGACAUAAAACCAGAGAUUACCCACAGAAGAGCCCUGGCUGUGUCAGCACUGCAGUCUCUCUGGAAACCAUUCUGGCAGCACCAGACGAUCUCACGCAAGACGUAGCUCCGGAUUUACAACUCAGCAGUACUCUCCAUCCUGCUAUAUGACUCAGAGACUUGGCCCUUAACCCUCUGGGGUCUAAGGGUGUUUUUGGGCCUGGAGAAGUUUUGACAUACCCUGAUAUUUGUGCUUUUUUCAGUUGCUUAUGAAGAUAUAAAUGGCUAAAGUCUAAUAUCACUGUA